rnacentral:rRNA from 1 species
UACAGAGGGUGCGAGCGUUAAUCGGAAUUACUGGGCGUAAAGCGCACGUAGGCGGCUUGGUAUGUCGGGUGUGAAAUCCCCAGGCUUAACCUGGGAACUGCGUCGGAUACUGGUUGGCUUGAAUCCGGGAGAGGGAUGCGGAAUUCCAGGUGUAGCGGUGAAAUGCGUAGAUAUCUGGAGGAACACCGGUGGCGAAGGCGGCAUCCUGGACCGGCAUUGACGCUGAGGCGCGAAAGCUAGGGGAGCGAACAGG